GAAUGCCAGAUGUCAGUUCAGCCUUAUGUGGAACAAAUUCUUGUCUAAAAUCCCUCCCUGACCCAAAAACAACUAAUUAAAUGUACCAUAUGGUGUUCGCGUGAUUGCCUAGGGACCCCAUGACAGUGGAUCAAAAGUUAAACAGAUUACGCAGAAGUAAAUUGACAAAGAGGUCUUGUACAAAUCUAUAUAUGCUGUGGGCUUGAAUUCAGGAAUGUGAGUCAUUUUACUCAACGGAAUUUCAACUAUUUCACGCAGUAUAAAAUAAAUCAAAUACUAAACAGUU